CCCUUAGAUGUUCUGGGCCGCACGCGCGCUACACUGACUACUUCAACGAGUUGUUUCCUUGAUCGAAAGGUCUGGGUAAUCUUUGAAAGGUAGUCGUGAUGGGGAUAGAUCCUUGCAAUUUUUGAUCUUCAACGAGGAAUUCCUAGUAAACGCAAGUCAUCAGCUUGCAUUGAUUACGUCCCUGCCCUUUGUACACACCGUCCGUCGCACCUACCGAUUGAAUGGUCCGGUGAAUCUUUAGGACUGUGGCUGAGGCCUUGCCUUGUGCGGGUCUGGCCGUGGGAAUUUAGUUAAACCUUACUAUUUAGAGGAAGGUGAAGUCGUAACA
rnacentral:rRNA from 1 species